AGUCGAGCGAAUGGAUUAAGAGCUUGCUCUUAUGAAGUUAGCGGCGGACGGGUGAGUAACACGUGGGUAACCUGCCCAUAAGACUGGGAUAACUCCGGGAAACCGGGGCUAAUACCGGAUAACAUUUUGAACCGCAUGGUUCGAAAUUGAAAGGCGGCUUUGGCUGUCACUUAUGGAUGGACCCGCGUCGCAUUAGCUAGUUGGUGAGGUAACGGCUCACCAAGGCAACGAUGCGUAGCCGACCUGAGAGGGUGAUCGGCCACACUGGGACUGAGACACGGCCCAGACUCCUACGGGAGGCAGCAGUAGGGAAUCUUCCGCAAUGGACGAAAGUCUGACGGAGCAACGCCGCGUGAGUGAUGAAGGCUUUCGGGUCGUAAAACUCUGUUGUUAGGGAAGAACAAGUGCUAGUUGAAUAAGCUGGCACCUUGACGGUACCUAACCAGAAAGCCACGGCUAACUAC
rnacentral:rRNA from 1 species